CCCCGCUUCCCACUUUGCCCACCCCCACUUCGCAGCCUCUCCCCCUUGAAAUGAAAUCGCCCCUCACCGUGAUCUAUGCGUCAACCGCUGUCACCUCAUUGGUCCCCAAACCAUUCCUGGGUUCCAGCAUAAACCGGGAAGAGAUUCUGGGAGGGGGAGAACGGAAGGUGGGCUUGAUCCUGGGAAACUGUUGUGUCUGAGAAGCGUUUUGGCAGAGUAAUUUGCGUUGGCUCCGAGUCUUCAACCCUCAACCUUCCCCCUCCCCGAGGCUCGCCCACCCUCUUCGCCAAGUAGGGAAGGGCAAGGGGCAGGGAGGGGGGGUCCUUUGCCCAGAAUGUUCUGUGCCUAAGUGUGGGUGGUGGUGAAGAGGAUCUUGGUCUGAAAUAUUGGCUUGUUAAUUCAACAACGUUUUAAUGUACUCAUGAUCCUAUAGUUAUAUUAACUUUACUUUUAGUGUUUCUUAAUUGUUUAGGGGCAGGAUGAGGCGGCAGUAACGCCUGCAGUGGUGACUGCCUCUUUCCUUUCUUAUUUCCGAAAUGAAAUCAGGAGGGAGUGGAAGCAUUUAUGGUAACUUUGGCUCACAACCGCCUCGCUGUUGCCCUUUGGAAAGCUUUAAAUGGUUUUAAAGAAAUCUCUUUCCCAGGCGAGAUGACUGUGAGCCUUCACUCAGCAGAGCAAUUGAGGACCACAGUCUUGUUCCAGUGUUUGCCUGCUUACCUGAAGCUGUCCCAGAGAGGUGAUCAGUCAGCUCAAGAUGAAAGAUCAAGCUGA
rnacentral:lncRNA from 1 species